CAGUCGCCGCGGUAAUACGAAGGGGGCUAGCGUUGUUCGGAUUUACUGGGCGUAAAGGACGCGUAGGCGGAUUAUCAAGUCUCUUGUGAAAUCUAACGGCUUAACCGUUAAACUGCUUGGGAAACUGAUAAUCUAGAGUAAGGGAGAGGCAGAUGGAAUUCUUGGUGUAGGGGUAAAAUCCGUAGAGAUCAAGAAGAAUACCCAUUGCGAAAGCGAUCUGCUGGAACUUAACUGACGCUAAUGCGUGAAAGCGUGGGGAGCAAACAGGAUUAGAUACCCGCGUAGUCCCUGUCUCUUAUAA
rnacentral:rRNA from 1 species